rnacentral:rRNA from 1 species
CAAUAGCGUAUAUUUAAGUUGCUGCAGUUAAAAAGCUCGUAGUUGGAUUUCGGGUGGGAAUGGCCGGUCCGCCGUUUCGGUGUGCACUUGCUACGCCCACCUUGCUGCCGGGGACGUGCUCUUGAGUUCACGCUCGGGACACGGAGUCGGCGAGGUUACUUUGAGUAAAUUAGAGUGUUCAAAGCAGGCCUACGCUCUGAAUACAUUAGCAUGGAAUAACACGAUAGGACUCUGGCCUAUCUUGUUGGUCUGUAGGACCGGAGUAAGGAUUAAGAGGGACAGUCGGGGGCAUUCGUAUUUCAUUGUCAGAGGUGAAAUUCUUGGAUUUGUGAAAGACGAACUACUGCGAAAGCAUUUGCCAAGGAUGUUUUCAUUAA